GGAAUUGACGGGACCCGCACAAGCGGUGGAUGAUGUGGAUUAAUUCGAUGCAACGCGAAAACCUUACCUACCCUUGACAUGUCCGGAAUCCCGAAGAGAUUUGGGAGUGCUCGCAAGAGAACCGGAACACAGGUACUGCAUGGCUGUCGUCAGCUCGUGUCGUGAGAUGUUGGGUUAAGUCCCGCAACGAGCGCAACCCUUGUCAUUAGUUGCCAUCAUUUGGUUGGGCACUCUAAUGAGACUGCCGGUGACAAACCGGAGGAAGGUGGGGAUGACGUCAAGUCCUCAUGGCCCUUAUGGGUAGGGCUUCACACGUCAUACAAUGGUCGGUACAGAGGGUUGCCAACCCGCGAGGGGGAGCUAAUCUCAUAAAGCCGGUCUCAGUUCGGAUUGGAGUCUGCAACUCGACUCCGUGAAGUUGGAAUCGCUAGUAAUCGCGGAUCAGCACGCCGCGGUGAAUACGUUCCCGGGCCUU
rnacentral:rRNA from 1 species